CUUUUACAGCGAGACCUGAAACACACGGAAAGAUUAUCUACGAAAUGAUUUUCAAACAUGAACAAAGGUUUUGGGGACAAUAUUUCAGGUAAUAGCUCCUUUCACAAAAGAAAAGAAGAAAGAAUUGGAGUCGUGUCAUGGGUGCGUGUGCGCUGGUUGUCGUCGCCCCCCGUCUCGUACACACCUGCUCCUGCGGGCAUCUUUCCCACCUGCGUCUCGUUUCCCCUAAUCACGCCGUGCAUUUAACCUCGCGUCUCCGUCUUUCCGGUCGCCGGUUCGUUGUACCUUGUCGUCACGUUGCAGCAUUCCUUGUGUCCACUCUUCCUGUUCCGAUUGUCGACCUUGCCCUUUUUGCCUGACGUUUUUCGGAUACCGUCGCCUUUGCGGCUUGCCCGCCUGUGUACCGACCUCUGCCAGUUUAUUCAACUUCUCUUUUUGAAACUGUCCAUUUGAAUCGGAGUCGCGCAUUUUGCGUCCUGUCCGCUGUUCCGUUCAUGACAAGUCCUGUGAAAUGAUGAAAAUGAUAACAUGACUGCCAACGGCCUAAUAAAUGAAGAAGACUUUUUUUUUUUCCCCUUUAACUGAAGGAACAUAAAUGUGGCAUGAAUCACAGUAUGGACAAAUUUAAAAAUAAGAGAAAUUGAAGUGAACAUUUUGGACUAAAACUAAUUCACAGAGUAAAAGUAAAACCAAUUUUUGGAAGGAGAUGACGAUUGAACACUCGCUGAAUAUGUCAAUUGUAAAACGACCCUGGAAAAGAAUGCAAAUGGGAAAAAUAUGGCUGUUUCUACAUUCAACCUAUCUUAUGUUGCUUAAAAAAAACAUUGAAAUCGAAAUGUUCGUACUUCCUUCAAGCCUUUUUUGAUUGUCUUUGUAAUAUAUUUCUGAUAUUAUGUACAAUAAUUCUCAUCACAACUCUUGUAUUGUGCUGCAGGUGGUCAUUUAUUGUCCUGGUUUUCCCAGUGUCCCCAAAAGGUGUACGAUUUGGUGUUGAACCAGCAUCGAAGGAUUACUUCCGUGUGCGCGGGUUUUGCAUUUUUACUUAACUUUCUUUCCGGAAGAACGGCAGUGGUCCAAGAAAAAAAACAAAAAAAAACAAUAUCAAGCAAUAGUGAAUGUGAGUCUCAAUGGUUGUUUGUCUAUAAAAUCAGCCGGUAUAGGCGACAGCAUGCCCCUGGCCCGAAUGAGGACAAGCGCGAUACAAAAUGGAUGGCCGCAUGCAUGAAAUGUGAUGCUGUGAUUGUAGUUGCAGCUCUUCUUUUUUUCCCCCUCUGCACUGUUCCCAAAUGUUAUUUCUUUGAAAGGAAAUGACCAGAGGAAAUGCCAGCAGUGCAACACGCUGGCUCUGUGAAGAUCCUUCUUCUUUUUCCACAUUGUCAAGGCAAGUCAAAAUGUUUACAGUAAACUAAAAUCACAACAUAUACUUUACGUACAUACGUAGAUGUUGUCGUGCUUUAAAAAAAAUAAAUAAAAAUUGCUCUCCAUGUUUGUGUUGCAGUGUUAACGGUGGGGUUUAGUUCCCAGACCCUGCAAGAAAGUGUGGCCCCCUCGAGGGUUUGAAUGGGGGGCUUAGUGGCAAAAAGGCAACUAACUAAAAGGACUUAAAACCACCCACUUGAACAGAGCGGGCAGCAGCGGGUGACCUAGAAAAUGGACCGUGCACAACCGUGCACUUUAUAAAUACAGUCGUGCCCAUUGAAAUGGAUGGCAAUACCCUUAAGCCAUUUCAGACCGCGCAAAAAGGGCACAUCUUUGCAACGUGUUCUUUGAAAUAAUAAAAAGAUCACGCAAUAGUAUUGAACCCUAUCAAAACACUAAUACCAUUAUUAAUAACAUCAUUAAAAAGAAUAUACAGAAUGACACAGUUUUUCCCGCAUUUCUUAAAUUCAAUGGAUAUUGUGCUACUCCUUCUGGUGUGCGCACCUUGACCACCUAGGGGCAGUAUAAUGACUACACAGUUUCACAACUGACUAAGUUGCGGCAAUAUUAGUCUUUUUGGUUUUUUUUUUUUCUUUGGCAAAGGAUAAAGAAAGUAUGCUUGUGAGUUUUUCUGUCUUACUAUUGCUGCAAUAAACAGCUUGAAGCCUCGUCGAAGAAUCGCCCGCGCGCUGCCAGACGGCCGCUCGUUGUGAAGUCAGUUGAGUGGAGUUCACGACCAACGUACAGCGCUUGUAUCUCAACAUUUUGCUCGCAUGUCGAAGCAGAACAAUCGUUCAAACAACGGCUCGUAUCUUGAAAAACUCACGGCACCGCUACAAAUGCCAUCGCUUAAUCGCAACGAGCGCGACUUGCUUAGUGAUAGAGAGACUAAAAUGUCAGUGGACCAGCCAGGACAGCUCCCGCGUUGACUUAGUCUGUGCUUGUGUCGCUGUUCAGUUGUGUGCAGAGUUUGUACAAACACACGACGAGAGGAAGCUGAGGGUCUCUGCAGCCUCAGUGGUCAGUGAGUCAGCCCCCCGGGGAAAGGUCUUGGCGAACAGCUCCACCUACCGGUGGCACUCAGUGAAUCUGCAUUACUUUGUGCUUGAAGAGCCCUGAAAUAAGUUUGUAGAACGGAGCUACUGCGGGAUCUCGAAUUCCGAUGGCAAUCUGUUCCGGGGAUGCUGGUGGAUUUGCUUGAAUUUAAUAUCAAUUUGUCCCGUAGGAAAUAAUGCUUAUGCUUAUUGCUGAAGGAGAGUUGACUUUAAGCAUCACUUUUGAACAUUGUUAAUUGAACUACAAGUGUAAAAAAAAAAAAAGUUAAGCCAAACAAAUGUGUGUACUCACACUCUGUCUUGGGGGAGGAGAUUUGGUUAUUUUGUUAUGUGUGUGUUCUGUGUUGGCCACCUAAGUACAACACACAUUAUAACAGCAGUAAGAAUACACAAACUGAUUUUUUCUCCAUAUGUGGAUUUCCACAUUUUAAAAAGAAUUUUAGUUGUUGAAAAUUGAUAUGCUGACAUUUUGUGUGGUUGUUUGAACUGCAACUUUAGAGGCAAGAAAUUGCAUUCGUGGAACGCCAUGGAAAUAAAGAUAAAGCUUCCUUU